rnacentral:lncRNA from 1 species
GUACAGACUUUUUUUUUUUUUUUUAAGAGAUAGAUAGUAUGUUACCCGUUUUAUUUAUUUUAUUUAGAAAUAAACUUAGCUGAAAAUGUGAAUCAAUUAUCAACUAGGAUUCGAAUUUGGGAUCUCGGAUACCAACUAUCAAGUCCUUUACUACUUGCAUGCUCUAGGGACGGUCAGCCUGUACAGACUUUGUUCUUUUCGGAAAGCGAACUAUCUGAACUUUCGCUCAUCUGAAAAUAACUAUCCAAUUUUCUAAGCUUUUGAUUUUACUAACCGACCAUGAGAAAUUGUUGUUCGUGCUAUAUAUUUAUAUAUUAUAGAAUUAGGCUAGAAUAAUAUUAAUAAUAAAACGCUCUUUUCACUAUCAAGUUUUUAACCCUUGGAUGAAAAAUUGUAGGGUUAGAAUGAUAUUAGUCGGUUAGAGUUGAGUAGUCCCCCUAGGUUUGAGUGGUCCCCACUCGGUUAUAGUAUUUAAUCCAAUGAUUAGAAAUAAUGAAAAGAAUUGAUCCAAAGGCUAAAAAACUGGUAGCAAUAAUGAGAUUUUGCUNAUAUAUAUAUAGAGAGAGAGAGAGAGUAGGGCUGCUAUACUAUUAUGAGUAUUGGACCAUUCGUACUCAUAAGUUGUUUUUUAUGAUGGAACUUCCGAAUCGACGAUCCACUCCGUUAAAUAUGAUCUAAAGUAUUUGAAACUUCUAGAAAAUAAAUUUCAUAAUUUUUCGAAAUUAUAAGAAAGUCCAUCAAGCGGGUAUAAAAUGAACAGUGAAAAUCGAACGAUGUCUUAAAAAUGGAUGAUCGGAUCCUUCAAUUCAAGAUCAGAGUUAUUGAUCUCUAUCUAUAUAGUGAAUAGAAUUUUCUAUCAAAAAUUCAACAAAUUUCGAUUCUUUUACACCGUUAAACUAGUAAGUAUUCCAUACCGGCCGUUAAAAAUUGUCCAAUUUGUGACCUCUUGAUCGUAAGGUAAAUGAUGUCGAAAAAUUAUGAAAUUUGAUUUCUAGAAGUUUUAAAUGCUAUAAAUAACGUUUAACGGUGUGGAUCGUCGAUUCGGAAGCUCUAUCAUCGAAAACAACCUAUGAGUACGAAGGCAAUCGUACUCAUAAUAGUACAGUAGCCGGACCAUAUAUAUAUAUAUAUAUAUAUAU